CAUCAGUAGGCCAUUGUUUGGGAGGCCUGGUCACACGCUCCCCCGACUGCAGUGUCUGAGACCUGCCCAGCCGUACCAACCUCCUAUCAUGAAGACGUUCCCCCAUUAACCUUUAAAGAUGAUUCAGCAGCCUGUCAAGCUCAGCAAUGCUUAGCAUUUCCUGCCUGGCCUGGGUGAUUCAUUAGCCCUAAUUAGAGAAACAACUGAAGAGACUGCAAAUGCGAGAAGCCUAGUUCCCAGGCCUGUGCUGCUGAUCUCAUACCCAGAGCGCCAGGACCUCUGGGAGCUCACAGCUGAGACAAACUCUGACCCAUUUGACAGGCAGACAGAGGGUUGCUGAGGGAUCUUCCAACUGGAGUGAGAGCCAAGGGGAGGCAGUCCUGGCAUCCUGGCAGGGCAGAGGAGGGCAAGGGGAGAUUUGCAGGCCAGUGGAUCUCAGACUCUGACCGGUGCCCCACGGAGCCCUUCUGCACACUGCUGCCCCUGCACUGGGGCAUGGAGAGGGAGCUGGCCCAGGUGAGGAUCUCGUCUCUCUAGAGUGGCCCCCAGAAGACAUCAGAUGGAAGCCAUUGGCCAAAGAAAGAUGGCCAUAUCUGUGACAACCUGCCCCGCAUCAGAAGGGGGCUAAAAGGCUGAACGGGGAUCCAAGCCCUGCCACGAUGCCCUGUCCCAAGCAGGUAUUUGGUGGGGUGCAUCACCUCCCGUCAGUCUGACCUGUACUGUCUUCUAACCUUCAGCCAUAGCGUAUAUAGCCUGUCGUGAAGUCAAGUGUGCAGCAGUCCCAUUCCUGCCUAUGGGUGAGGCUCCAGAAGGGAAUGGCCCAUGCACUAAGAGAAGGCACCAUGCUGAGGAAACCAUCGCAGAGCCUGGCACUGCCAGGCAUGGGUUAGCCGGGCCUGUUUGCAGCCUCCCCCUUGAGGAUCUCCUGAGAUCACAGUCUGGAUGGGGACUCUGAAGCCUGCUAUUCAAGGCACGUGCCCAGCUCAGAUGAAGGUUUUUGGGGUUUAGCUUCGUGGGCAGAGGACGAGCCAUGGAGCCAAAGAAGAAACUAGGGGCCAUGAGAGGAGAACUUGGCAGGGACCAGAGCAGCCGCAGGGCCAGGGAGCUCCCCAAGUGUGCACUCUGCUCUCCCUAGCAGAGAAUGCUUUGAUCAGAGCUAUGGCCUUUGCUGGGGGUCAGGAGGAGAAGGCUGGGACGGCACAAAUAAAUAUUUCUUUGCUGGAUCUCAAUGAGCUGCAAGGUGCCUGGGCAGUGUGAUGAUGGGCACCAUGUGGUCAUUAACAUCGAUAAAUAAACAGCCCACACAAGCCCGUUCUUGGGUUUCACAUAGGGCCCUGGCCUAGUCACUAGGUCGCUGCCCAUACUUGGUGGCCUGGGAAAGGGUUGCGUGGGCUAAGGGCACCAGAGAAGGUCUGACAGAGAGGAUGGGGUUGGUUGUUCUUCUCAGUGCAAUGCAUUGGCAGAGCGGGGAUGGCACACGGCUGAUGGCACUCGGCUGAUGGCACCAGUUUGGCCCUUUUGGGUAUUAGAUUGCUGCCAUUCUCCUGGUUUACAGGUCAGCAUCCACAUACACGUGUGCUCAAAUGAAUGCA